rnacentral:lncRNA from 1 species
ACACCGCUCCCUGACAGAGGACCUGAAAACAGAAAAGAAACGUGUUAGUGCUGGUUACAAAGUGUGAACGAGAUGGAUGGAACAAAACAAAAGUGAAGCUAGCUAAUCCUGCAUAAACUCUUGGACCGGUGGAAUCUGUAUGAGAUCCUGUUUGGUGCCACAGCUACUCCUUUGCAUAUGAUUUUUACCAUUUCUACACGAUACUUAAUUAUGAAAACAGCUCAAUGCAAUAGAUGAUUGUGAAAAAAAAAACACAGCAAAUUCCACAAUAUACGCAAAUCGGACCAAAAACAGAUGGACCAAAUUUAUCUGCAAAAUGUUUAAUCGACCAAAAGGAGGCAUGUCAUUCAACCCAAGUGACCUCUUGAAAACCAUAUGCUUUUAUAGGACUGACCACCCAUAUUACCAAAGCGAAAUGAAGUCUAGAUGUGUUAUGUGAUAAGCGUACUGAGCUCUUAACUUAAAAGAUGAAACUAUAGGAUUGUCAACAGUCAUUCCAAUGGCCGAGAACCAGCCAUAUAAGGAAGAGUACUACAUACCU